rnacentral:rRNA from 1 species
AUUGAACGCUGGCGGCAGGCCUAACACAUGCAAGUCGAGCGGAUGAAGGGAGCUUGCUCCUGGAUUCAGCGGCGGACGGGUGAGUAAUGCCUAGGAAUCUGCCUGGUAGUGGGGGAUAACGUCCGGAAACGGGCGCUAAUACCGCAUACGUCCUGAGGGAGAAAGUGGGGGAUCUUCGGACCUCACGCUAUCAGAUGAGCCUAGGUCGGAUUAGCUAGUUGGUGGGGUAAAGGCCUACCAAGGCGACGAUCCGUAACUGGUCUGAGAGGAUGAUCAGUCACACUGGAACUGAGACACGGUCCAGACUCCUACGGGAGGCAGCAGUGGGGAAUAUUGGACAAUGGGAGAAAGCCUGAUCAAGCCAUGCCGCGUGUGUGAAGAAGGUCUUCGGAUUGUAAAGAACUUUAAGUUGGGAGGAAGGGCAGUAAGUUAAUACCUUGCUGUUUUGACGUUACCAACAGAAUAAGCAACGGCUAACUUCGUG